AUUGAACGCUGGCGGCAGGCCUAACACAUGCAAGUCGAGCGGAUGAAGGGAGCUUGCUCCUGGAUUCAGCGGCGGACGGGUGAGUAAUGCCUAGGAAUCUGCCUGGUAGUGGGGGAUAACGUCCGGAAACGGGCGCUAAUACCGCAUACGUCCUGAGGGAGAAAGUGGGGGAUCUUCGGACCUCACGCUAUCAGAUGAGCCUAGGUCGGAUUAGCUAGUUGGUGGGGUAAAGGCCUACCAAGGCGACGAUCCGUAACUGGUCUGAGAGGAUGAUCAGUCACACUGGAACUGAGACACGGUCCAGACUCCUACGGGAGGAAGCAGUGGGGAAUAUUGGACAAUGGGCGAAAGCCUGAUCCAGCAAUGCCGCGUGUGUGAAGAAGGUCUUCGGAUUGUAAAGCACUUUAAGUUGGGAGGAAGGGCAGUAAGUUAAUACCUUGCUGUUUUGACGUUACCAACAGAAUAAGCACCGGCUAACUUCGUG
rnacentral:rRNA from 1 species